GGUUAAGUGACUAAGCGUACACGGUGGAUGCCUAGGCAAUCAGAGGCGAAGAAGGACGUGCUAAUCUGCGAAAAGCUUGGAUGAGUUGAUAAGAAGCGUUUAAUCCAAGAUAUCCGAAUGGGGAAACCCGAUGGAUGAAGAAUCCAUCAUUUCAUUAUGAAUCCAUAGUAAUGAAAGGCAAACCGGGAGAACUGAAACAUCUAAGUACCCCGAGGAAAAGAAAUCAACCGAGAUUUUGUAAGUAGCGGCGAGCGAAAGCGAAAGAGCCAGUGAGUGAUAGCAGCAAAGACAGAAGAAUUGGCUGGGAAGCCAAGCGACACAGGGUGAUAGCCCCGUAUUCGAAGUUUUUGUUGUGGUACUAAGCUUGCAACAAGUAGGGCGGGACACGAGAAAUCCUGUUUGAAGAUGGGGGACCAUCCUCCAAGGCUAAAUACUCCUGAUUGACCGAUAGUGAACCAGUACUGUGAAGGAAAGGCGAAAAGAACCCCAGUGAGGGGAGUGAAAUAGAACCUGAAACCGUGUACGUACAAGCAGUGGGAGCCCUUUGGGGUGACUGCGUACCUUUUGUAUAAUGGGUCAGCGACUUAUAUUUUGUAGCGAGGUUAACUGAAUAAGGGAGCCGAAGGGAAACCGAGUCUUAACUGGGCGGAUAGUUGCAAGGUAUAGACCCGAAACCCGGUGAUCUAGCCAUGGGCAGGUUGAAGGUUGGGUAACACUAACUGGAGGACCGAACCGACUUGAAAUACCACCCUUUAACGUUUGAUGUUCUAACGAAGAUUGCGAAACGCGGUCUCGGACAGUGUCUGGUGGGUAGUUUGACUGGGGCGGUCUCCUCCCAAAGAGUAACGGAGGAGCACGAAGGUUUGCUAAUCACGGUCGGACAUCGUGAGGUUAGUGCAAUGGUAUAAGCAAGCUUAACUGCGAGACAGACAAGUCGAGCAGGUGCGAAAGCAGGUCAUAGUGAUCCGGUGGUUCUGAAUGGAAGGGCCAUCGCUCAACGGAUAAAAGGUACUCCGGGGAUAACAGGCUGAUACCGCCCAAGAGUUCAUAUCGACGGCGGUGUUUGGCACCUCGAUGUCGGCUCAUCACAUCCUGGGGCUGAAGUAGGUCCCAAGGGUAUGGCUGUUCGCCAUUUAAAGUGGUACGCGAGCUGGGUUUAGAACGUCGUGAGACAGUUCGGUCCCUAUCUGCCGUGGGCGUUGGAGAAUUGAGAGGGGCUGCUCCUAGUACGAGAGGACCGGAGUGGACGCAUCACUGGUGUACCAGUUGUCUCGCCAGAGGCACUGCUGGGUAGCUAAAUGCGGAAGAGAUAAGUGCUGAAAGCAUCUAAGCACGAAACUCGCCUUAAGAUGAGUUCUCCCAGUCUAUAAGACUGUAAGGGUUGUUGGAGACUACGACGUAGAUAGGUCUUGUGUGUAAGCGGUGUGAGCCGUUGAGCUAACAGAUACUAAUUGCCCGAGAGGCUUAACU
rnacentral:rRNA from 1 species